rnacentral:rRNA from 1 species
CCUACGGGGGGCAGCAGUAGGGAAUAUUGCUCAAUGGGGGAAACCCUGAAGCAGCAACGCCGCGUGGAGGAUGAAGGUUUUCGGAUUGUAAACUCCUUUUGUUAGAGAAGAUAAUGACGGUAUCUAACGAAUAAGCACCGGCUAACUCCGUGCCAGCAGCCGCGGUAAUACGGAGGGUGCAAGCGUUACACGGAAUCACUGGGCGUAAAGAGCGCGUAGGCGGGUUAGCAAGUCAGAUGUGAAAUCCUAUGGCUUAACCAUAGAACUGCUUUUGAAACUGUUAGUCUAGAGUGUGGGAGAGGUAGGUGGAAUGCUUGGUGUAGGGGUAAAAUCCGUAGAGAUCAAGAGGAAUACUGAUUGCGAAGGCGACCUGCUAGAACAUAACUGACGCUGAUGCGCGAAAGCGUGGGGAGCAAACAGGAUUAGAUACCCUAGUAGUC